GAUGAACGCUGGCGGCGUGCCUAAUACAUGCAAGUCGAGCGAACAGACGAGGAGCUUGCUCCUUCGACGUUAGCGGCGGACGGGUGAGUAACACGUAGGUAACCUACCUAUAAGACUGGGAUAACUUCGGGAAACCGGAGCUAAUACCGGAUAAUAUUUCGAACCGCAUGGUUCGAUAGUGAAAGAUGGCUUUGCUAUCACUUAUAGAUGGACCUGCGCCGUAUUAGCUAGUUGGUAAGGUAACGGCUUACCAAGGCAACGAGACGUAGCCGACCUGAGAGGGUGGUCGGCCGCACUGGAACUGAGACACGGUCCAGACUCCUACGGGAGGCAGCAGUAGGGAAUCUUCCGCAAUGGGCGAAAGCCUGACGGAGCAACGCCGCGUGAGUGAUGAAGGUCUUCGGAUCGUAAAACUCUGUUAUUGGGGAAGAACAAACGUGUAAGUAACUGUGCACGUCUUGACGGUACCUAAUCAGAAAGCCACGGCUAACUACGUG
rnacentral:rRNA from 1 species